rnacentral:tRNA from 1 species
AGGGAAAUAGCUCAGUGACAGAGCAUAUGCUUAGAAUGCAUGAGGUCCUGCCUUCAAUCCUCAGUACCCCUA